rnacentral:rRNA from 1 species
CCUACGGUGGGCAGCAGUGAGGAAUAUUGGUCAAUGGGCGCAAGCCUGACCCAGCAAUGCCGCGUGAAGGCAGAAGGCUUUCGGGUUGUAAACUUCUUUGACAGGGGAAGAGCAGAAGACGGUACCCUGAAAACAAGCCACGGCUAACUCCGUGCCAGCAGCCGCGGUAAUACGUAGGUGGCAAGCGUUGUCCGGAUUUACUGGGUGUAAAGGGCGUGUAGCCGGGAAGGCAAGUCAGAUGUGAAACCUGGAGGCUCAACCUCCAAAUUGCAUUUGAAACUGUUUUUCUUGAGUACUGGAGAGGCAGACGGAAUGCCUGGUGUAGCGGUGAAAGGCGUAGAUAUAAGGAGGAACACCAGUGGCGAAGGCGGUCUGCUGGACAGCAACUGACGGUGAGGCGCGAAAGCGUGGGGAGCAAACAGGAUUAGAUACCCGGGUAGUC